rnacentral:tRNA from 1 species
GGAGAGAUGGGUGAGCGGCUUAAACCAAGCGUUUGCUAAACGCUCGUAGGCCAAAAGCCUACCGCGAGUUCGAAUCUCGCUCUCUCCGCCA